rnacentral:rRNA from 1 species
AGAGUUUGAUCCUGGCUCAGAUUGAACGCUGGCGGCAUGCUUUACACAUGCAAGUCGGACGGCAGCACAGAGAAGCUUGCUUCUUGGGUGGCGAGUGGCGAACGGGUGAGUAACAUAUCGGAACGUACCGAGCAGUGGGGGAUAACUAAUCGAAAGAUUAGCUAAUACCGCAUAUCUUCUGAGGAAGAAAGCAGGGGACCAUUUGGCCUUGCGCUGUUUGAGCGGCCGAUAUCUGAUUAGCUAGUUGGUGGGGUAAAGGCCUACCAAGGCGACGAUCUGUAGCGGGUCUGAGAGGAUGAUCCGCCACACUGGGACUGAGACACGGCCCAGACUCCUACGGGAGGCAGCAGUGGGGAAUAUUGGACAAUGGGGGGAACCCUGAUCCAGCCAUGCCGCGUGUGUGAAGAAGGCCUUAUGGUUGUAAAGCACUUUAAGCGAGGAGGAGGGUACUGGUAUUAAUACUACCAGCUACUGGACGUUACUCGCAGAAUAAGCACCGGCUAACUCUGUGCCAGCAGCCGCGGUAAUACAGAGGGUGCGAGCGUUAAUCGGAUUUACUGGGCGUAAAGCGUGCGUAGGCGGCUAAUUGAGUCGGAUGUGAAAUCCCCGAGCUUAACUUGGGAAUUGCAUUCGAUACUGGUUAGCUAGAGUGUGGGAGAGGAUGGUAGAAUUCCAGGUGUAGCGGUGAAAUGCGUAGAGAUCUGGAGGAAUACCGAUGGCGAAGGCAGCCAUCUGGCCUAACACUGACGCUGAGGUACGAAAGCAUGGGGAGCAAACAGGAUUAGAUACCCUGGUAGUCCAUGCCGUAAACGAUGUCUACUAGCCGUUGGGGCCUUUGAGGCUUUAGUGGCGCAGCUAACGCGAUAAGUAGACCGCCUGGGGAGUACGGUCGCAAGACUAAAACUCAAAUGAAUUGACGGGGGCCCGCACAAGCGGUGGAGCAUGUGGUUUAA